GAUGAACGCUGGCGGCGUGCCUAAUACAUGCAAGUCGAGCGAACGGACGAGAAGCUUGCUUCUCUGAUGUUAGCGGCGGACGGGUGAGUAACACGUGGAUAACCUACCUAUAAGACUGGGAUAACUUCGGGAAACCGGAGCUAAUACCGGAUAAUAUUUUGAACCGCAUGGUUCAAAAGUGAAAGACGGUCUUGCUGUCACUUAUAGAUGGAUCCGCGCUGCAUUAGCUAGUUGGUAAGGUAACGGCUUACCAAGGCAACGAUGCAUAGCCGACCUGAGAGGGUGAUCAGCCACACUGGAACUGAGACACGGUCCAGACUCCUACGGGAGGCAGCAGUAGGGAAUCUUCCGCAAUGGGCGAAAGCCUGACGGGGCAACGCCGCGUGAGUGAUGAAGGUCUUCGGAUCGUAAAACUCUGUUAUUAGGGAAGAACAUAUGUGUAAGUAACUGUGCACAUCUUGACGGUACCUAAUCAGAAAGCCACGGCUAACUACGUG
rnacentral:rRNA from 1 species